rnacentral:lncRNA from 1 species
GUACACACACACACACACAUAUAUAGGAGCAAGCAAAAUUUUUCUUCCAUUCUUGAUCAUAACUACCCGACGAAUGGAAAUGCGAAACACUGAGUCACAGAUUGUGUAUAUAUAUAUAGAGAGAGAGAGAUAGAGAGAGAGAGGGGGAGAGAGAGCUACAGACAGACACACACGAGCACGCAUAAACAUAUAUACAGAAUUAAAUAUGUAACCAAUCCCUUGUGUUCACUCAACCCACCAAAAAAGUCGUCGCACGCAGACACACAUACAUCUGAGAGCGCACACGUACGGACUCAUAGUUACAUACAGGUGUGUGGCCUGACGGUGAGGGUAUUUGUCUCUAUAUCGUUGUGUUGGGAGUUCGAUUACCCGACCAGUAUCAAGAUAUUCCAUUUCAACUAGCUUCAGUCAACCCAAAUAUUAGUAGAAGCCAUCUGUUAGUGCAUCUCUCUCUCCUACUUUCUCUCACAGGCUCGAUGCUCCGCUGGCUCAGGUAGGACUAGAUGUCGACCAUGUUCCGUUCGUGGCUCCAGACACACCUAAAUCAAUUAGCGAAAUGCAAAGUGCACAAUAUGCAACAGAAAGUAUAGCUUAUAUAGCAGUUACAAUGUGAAAAUCUCAUUUUAUCCAUUAGAAAACACAGACAUUCUUACCUCAAAUUAGUCACUUUUAGUCCAUGUCAAAAUUCUGUCCGCGAUUUGGUCACAGACACAAUUCUAUUAUAUCCCAAAGGAAAUAUAUAUCACUGAGCAAGUCAGAGAAAGUGUGGUGAAAAUAUUAACGCCAAAUAAUUGAGUGUUGUAUGUAGUUAACAGUUUCUUUGUGUUUUCGAAUGGUUAAAAUGAACCUUCAAUGUUGAAAUUGCUUUUGUUUCAACACACGGUCUCAGAUUAGCUCACUUGUUUAGCCAGUGACAUGUACAAGUCUGAAAUACAUCUUAUAAAAGUUUCGUUGAAUAGGAGAUCUACUGUUCGAUCGGCUGCUUCCGGAUUGCACAUCAGACAUAUAGAUUUGCUCUUAAUGACUGUCUGAUAGAGAAAGCGGAUAUCUCCUUGUCACUAAAGUCUUGGUGUCAGCCAAAUGACACAACCGAAACCCAUCGUGAAUAUCGUAUAGCCAAAUGUGAUAAAGGUAAAUUAUCUCACCUCUAUGAAUAGAACAAAAUCGUUGUAACGAUCUAGAUCGCAGAGUAAGAGGUUGAGGAAGAAACAGCUCGACAGUUCGACAUUCAGAAAAUAAGUAAAUAAAUGUGAGGUGUGUAAGAACAACAAUGUUACUCUCUCACAGAACUGUAAAUCCUAACCAGCAAUUGAAGGAUUGGCCCAUAUUGUAUUCACCUGAAUAUUUCCUUAUCCAUCUUCCCAAACAAUAUUUACUAAAUCUCUGGAGAUUUGUUUCUUCUUAAGUCACCUUUCUCAGCACAGUCACUGGUUUUCCCUUCCACAGCAAUAGAAAAAGGCCAGCUAACGAAAACCUGUUUUAAAUCUCUGCCAUUCUUGUGUUGAUUAAUGAAUAUACGUAUGCAUAUUCGUGUAUGUGCAUGUGUGUAUGAAUAUAUGUAAGCAUUUAUUUGUAUGCAUGUGUGUGAGUGUGUGUUUGUGUGUAUAUCCAAGCAUUUAUAUAUGUGUGUGUGAAAGUGCGUGCGAGUGCAUGUUUGUGUCUACGCCUGAGGCUUCCAUGAGUUUCUAUCUAUUAAGUUCAUUCACGUCUAUUAAAUGCAUUCAAGUUUGUGUGCACAGGUGGUAGCAAAACGAGCUUCUUAACUAGAAUGCCAUGUUCGCGACUGGCUUCUUUCAUUUUUUUCUGCUCUAGAGGCCAGUAACUGUAACUGCUGCAAUCUACCCUCGCUUCCAGAUGAAUAUCAUCGUUGAUAUUUCAACUUUCCUUGAUAUCAGCCGUUUCUUUUUUCUUCGCAACACACACACACACAGAGUAAUAUAUUAUUUCUUGCUGAGAUCAAGUAAGCAGAGCAACCGCUUGAUUUAUUACAGUAUAAUAAUUCAUAUAUAUUAGUGUUGACUGUAACAGAUGCAUACACUUUUCCCUCGGUCAGGAGAUUUCCUGAAAUAUUCCCAAUCCACAUCGAAAGACCUCACAAACAAGUGAAACGACUCUACAUCCGUUGCAGUCAAAGAUUUACCAUUAAUAAUUGCCUCGCGUAGCAUAGUGGUUAGGAUGUUGGAUUCAUGAUCCUAAGAUUGUGGUUUCUAAUCCUGGGCCGGUUGAUUUAGUGUGACUUUGAGCAAAACACUUCAUUUCAUGUUGCUUCAGUCCACUUAGUUGGAAACAUUUAGUAAUCCAGUGAUGGAAAAGUGACCCUUCAAUGGGGAGUAUUUGUACGCUAGAGAAGCCAGGAAACCAGACCUAUGAAUCUAUAUCACUUUGGAAAAAGCUUUAGCCAUUUUCAGAUUUAGGUACCAUCGACCCCUUUAUCUUGAUAUAAAGGAUACUAUAUCAGACAAAAAACAAAGGUAACACGGGCGGCACUUAAAAGUUGGAG